AUACGGAGGGUGCAAGCGUUGUUCGGAAUCACUGGGCGUAAAGGGCGCGCAGGCGGUUUGGUAAGUCAGAUGUGAAAGCCCACGGCUUAACCGUGGAAGUGCAUUUGAAACUGUCAGACUUGAGUACCAGAGGGGAAAGUGGAAUUCCCGGUGUAGAGGUGAAAUUCGUAGAUAUCGGGAGGAAUACCGGUGGCGAAGGCGACUUUCUGGCUGAGUACUGACGCUGAGGCGCGAAAGCGUGGGGAGC
rnacentral:rRNA from 1 species